rnacentral:rRNA from 1 species
CCAGCAGCCGCGGUAAUUCCAGCUCCAAUAGCGUAUAUUUAAGUUGUUGCAGUUAAAAAGCUCGUAGUCGGAUUUCGGGUGGGCUCCGGCGGUCCGCCUCUGGUGUGCACUGCCGCGUGGCCCAUCUUUCUGCCGGUGACGGGCUCUUGGGCUUCACUGUCCGGGACUCGGAGUCGGCGAGGUUACUGUGAGCAAAUUAGAGUGUUCAAAGCAGGCGAUCGCCUUGAAUACAUUAGCAUGGAAUAACGCGAUAGGACUCUGGCCUAUCUUGUUGGUCUGUAGGACCGGAGUAAUGAUUAAGAGGGACAGUCGGGGGCAUUCGUAUUUCAUUGUCAGAGGUGAAAUUCUUGGAUUUAUGAAAGA